GACGUAGGGUGCGAGCGUUGUCCGGAUUUAUUGGGCGUAAAGAGCUCGUAGGCGGCUCGUCGCGUCGACCGUGAAAACCCGCGGCUUAACUGCGGGCUUGCGGUUGAUACGGGCGGGCUAGAGUUCGGUAGGGGAGACUGGAAUUCCUGGUGUAGCGGUGAAAUGCGCAGAUAUCAGGAAGAACACCCGUGGCGAAAGCGGCUCUCGUC
rnacentral:rRNA from 1 species